AUUGAAUUGAAUAAAAUGUCUUUAUAAUAAAAUACAUAAAAAGGGUGGAACAUUAAAAUGAAUAAUAAUAUACCUAAAAAUGGAGGAACUAAAUCAAAUGUUUUUCUCUGUUUCUACUCACUGGGCUCUUGUAGCUCACCCCAUUCCCUUAACCCCAGUUUUGCAGGGCCAGAGUAUGUCAAGCCAGAGUAAGUCAGAAGAGCUAUGUGAUAGAAGAGGUUCAAGCAUGGGUUGCCAUGUUUGGUUGUAAUAGCUUAGUUAUGUUUAUGUUUAUGUAUAAGGAGAGAUGCUUAUUGUAUAUGUUUAUGGAGAUAGUAUGUAGUGUAAGUUGCUAAAGAGAUGAUAUGUUAUGUAAUGCUAUGUAUG
rnacentral:lncRNA from 1 species